rnacentral:rRNA from 1 species
AUUGAACGCUGGCGGCAUGCCUUACACAUGCAAGUCGAACGGUAACAGGUCUUCGGAUGCUGACGAGUGGCGAACGGGUGAGUAAUACAUCGGAACGUGCCCAGACGCGGGGGAUAACGAGGCGAAAGCUUUGCUAAUACCGCAUACGAUCUAAGGAUGAAAGCAGGGGACCUCAAGGCCUUGUGCGGUUGGAGCGGCCGAUGGCAGAUUAGGUAGUUGGUGGGAUAAAAGCUUACCAAGCCGACGAUCUGUAGCUGGUCUGAGAGGACGACCAGCCACACUGGGACUGAGACACGGCCCAGACUCCUACGGGAGGCAGCAGUGGGGAAUUUUGGGCAAUGGGCGAAAGCCUGAUCCAGCAAUGCCGCGUGCAGGAUGAAGGCCUUCGGGUUGUAAACUGCUUUUGUACGGAACGAAAAGGCUCUGGCGAAUACCUGCGGCACAUGACGGUACCGUAAGAAUAAGCACCGGCUAACUACGUG